UAGUCCACACCGUAAACGAUGAGAGCUAGUUGUCUGCAAGCAUGCUUGUAGGUGACGCAGCUAACGCAUUAAGCUCUCCGCCUGGGGAGUACGGUCGCAAGAUUAAAACUCAAAGGAAUUGACGGGGACCCGCACAAGCGGUGGAGCAUGUGGUUUAAUUCGAGGCAACGCGAAGAACCUUACCAGACCUUGACAUGCCUCUCGCGGAUUUCAGAGAUGAUUUCCUUCAGUUCGGCUGGAGAGUGCACAGGUGCUGCAUGGCUGUCGUCAGCUCGUGUCGUGAGAUGUUGGGUUAAGUCCCGCAACGAGCGCAACCCUCAUUUUUAGUUACCAUCAUUUAGUUGGGUACUCUAGAGAAACUGCCGGGGUCAACCCGGAGGAAGGUGGGGAUGACGUCAAGUCUUCAUGGCCCUUAUGGUCUGGGCUACACACGUGCUACAAUGGCAAAUACAAUGAGCAGCGAUCCCGCGAGGGUCAGCUAAUCUCC
rnacentral:rRNA from 1 species